AUUGAACGCUGGCGGCAUGCCAAACACAUGCAAGUCGAACGAAGUCUUCGGACUUAGUGGCGGACGGGUGAGUAACACGUGGGAACGUGCCUUUAGGUUCGGAAUAACUCAGGGAAACUUGUGCUAAUACCGAAUGUGCCCUUCGGGGGAAAGAUUUAUCGCCUUUAGAGCGGCCCGCGUCUGAUUAGCUAGUUGGUGAGGUAAAGGCUCACCAAGGCUACGAUCAGUAGCUGGUCUGAGAGGAUGACCAGCCACAUUGGGACUGAGACACGGCCCAAACUCCUACGGGAGGCAGCAGUGGGGAAUCUUGCGCAAUGGGCGAAAGCCUGACGCAGCCAUGCCGCGUGGAUGAUGAAGGUCUUAGGAUUGUAAAAUCCUUUCACCGGUGAAGAUAAUGACUGUAGCCGGAGAAGAAGCCCCGGCUAACUUCGUGCCAGCCGCCGCAGUAAAAC
rnacentral:rRNA from 1 species